GUACCUGUGGCUCAGUUGGUAGAGCAUGGUGUUUGCAAUGCCAGCAUGGUGUGUGUGCAACGCCAGGGUUGUGCCAGGGUUGUGGGUUCGAUUCCCACGGGGGGCC
rfam:Salmo salar isolate Sally breed double haploid chromosome ssa21, whole genome shotgun sequence.